UACGACGGGGGCUAGCGUUGCUCGGAAUCACUGGGCGUAAAGCGCACGUAGGCGGCUUUCUAAGUCAGGGGUGAAAUCCUGGAGCUCAACUCCAGAACUGCCUUUGAUACUGGAGAGCUUGAGUCCGGGAGAGGUGAGUGGAACUCCGAGUGUAGAGGUGAAAUUCGUAGAUAUUCGGAAGAACACCAGUGGCGAAGGCGGCUCACUGGCCCGGUACUGACGCUGAUGUGCGAAAGCGUGGGGAGCAGACAGG
rnacentral:rRNA from 1 species